rnacentral:rRNA from 1 species
CAGUCGCGCGGGAAUACGAAGGGUGCAAGCGUUAAUCGGAAUUACUGGGCGUAAAGCGUGCGUAGGCGGUGAGUUAAGUCUGCUGUGAAAUCCCCGGGCUCAACCUGGGAAUGGCAGUGGAUACUGGCUCGCUAGAGUGUGUCAGAGGAUGGUGGAAUUCCACGUGUAGCAGUGAAAUGCGUAGAGAUGUGGAGGAACACCGAUGGCGAAGGCAGCCCCCUGGGCCAAUACUGACGCUCAUGCACGAAAGCGUGGGGAGCAAACAGGAUUAGAUACCCCCGUAGUCCCUGUCUCUUAUACC